CUGGGGGCCCAUUGAAGUAGCACAGAAGAAGGCAUGCAGUGGGGUAGAAGCAUGCAGAGAAGCAAGAAGGAAGGAUGCUGAGAGCAGCACUUGUCAGCAGCACAUGGAAGCAGAAGGAAAAAGCUUUGGCAGACUGGGCUCCUUUGAUCACAGACUGGCAUUGUAUCCUUGGAUUGGAGUUAGUGUAUGUUCAGAAUGGUUUGCUUUUCAUUCAGACCUUCUGCAAAGAAUAAACAUGACUCCUCCUGAAACAGAAAACUCAAAGGUUAUCUCUUGUCUUCAUCUGUGUUCCUUAGAAGCAUACAGUGGAAAACAAUAUUAAUUGGCAUUCAGGAAUCCCAUCUACCAGCUGCCAAGGACAACAUGUGGAAGAAGGUUACAAAGUGAACAUGCACAAGCAUUUCAUACCAUCAAAACUACAAAGCAGUUUGCCUGACUGUCGACAAUGCCUUUCUGCUAUUAUGGCUUCAUGUUUUUUUCAUUAUAUCACACAAAUAAUGGCUCACUGCAACCACCAUGAUAAGAUUACUCACCUUUUAUUUAUUGACUUCAUUUUAGAAGGGCAGGACUGAAGAAUAUUUUCUCUGCCAAAGACCUACUGUACUCUGCCUGCAAAAUGGAAUAGCAGUGUAAUCUAGAGAAAUAAAUGGCUAAGUUUUUUCGACAGCCACAAUGAGAAACAAAAAGUAAAAAAAAAAAAGUAUCUUUUUGGAAUAAAGACCAACAUUUAAAGGAAAAAGAGCAAAAAACAUUGUCAUUUAGGAAGCAUUGUAUUACUAUGAAAACAUGCCAAGGGGUAACUACCAAAAGACAAAUCAUGUAUAUAGAUAACCAUAGGGAAGGAUUAACAUGAGGUGAUCAGAGGCUGAAGUCCGGGGGACUAGACUAAGUGGAGUGGACAUCCACAACAUGACUAU